rnacentral:tRNA from 1 species
CAAAUUAGAUCUUGAUUUUAAAGUAUUUCAUUUACAUUGAAAAGAUAUUAUUUAUUUAAUUAAUUUGA